AUGUCCUCCACCGCAUCACCCGGCGUAUCAUGCAUGGGUAGCUCAGGAUCAGGCCAUCCUCUCCGCGAUCCAGUCAUCGCUCACCGAGGGGGUGUCCUCCUUGGUUCUCUUCGCUGCCACGUCUCAGGAGGCGUGGUCUGCUCUGCACACGAGCUUCGCCUCUCAGCAGCAUGCGCGCGCUCACACUAUUCGUACGGAGCUGGGGGAGACCAAGCUUCUUGA
rnacentral:rRNA from 1 species